CUUAACUGUGUUAUAACACACACAGAUCGGCACAUUUUCCGGGGUGCUCUUAUGUAGGAAAGCCUACAGCUAAUGAGUCGGGGAAUGGGAUCUGUGGAGGCAUAAC
rnacentral:sRNA from 12 species